rnacentral:rRNA from 1 species
CCUACGGGUGGCAGCAGUCGAGAAUCAUUCACAAUGGGGGAAACCCUGAUGGUGCGACGCCGCGUGGGGGAAUGAAGGUCUUCGGAUUGUAAACCCCUGUCAUGUGGGAGCAAAUUAAAAAGAUAGUACCACAAGAGGAAGAGACGGCUAACUCUGUGCCAGCAGCCGCGGUAAUACAGAGGGCUCAAGCGUUGUUCGGAAUCACUGGGCGUAAAGCGUGCGUAGGCUGUUUCGUAAGUCGUGUGUGAAAGGCGCGGGCUCAACCCGCGGACGGCACAUGAUACUGGGAGACUAGAGUAAGGGAGGGGGAACCGGAAUUCUCGGUGUAGGAGUGAAAUGCGUAGAUAUCGAGAGGAACACUCGUGGCGAAGGCGGGUUCCUGGACAUUAACUGACGCUGAGGCACGAAGGCCAGGGGAGCGAAAGGGAUUAGAUACCCCUGUAGUC